UGGGGAAUAUUGCACAAUGGGCGCAAGCCUGAUGCAGCCAUGCCGCGUGUGUGAAGAAGGCCUUCGGGUUGUAAAGCACUUUCAGUCGUGAGGAAGGAGGUAGUGUUAAUAGCACUAUCAUUUGACGUUAGCGACAGAAGAAGCACCGGCUAACUCCGUG
rnacentral:rRNA from 1 species